UUGAUAAGCGUGAGGUCGGAGGUUCAAGUCCUCCCAGGCCCACCAGUUACACUAUGCAGCAAAUUGCUCUGAGUGAAAAUGUUAAAAUUUAGUGAGAAUAUUCACAAUCCCUUGUUGAAUAUUCCCUUAAAAAGAAUUUAUUGAAGCUGUCAAUUCUUCUAGGAGUAUUCAGAGCCUCCGCGGAAACUCAAAACCCUCCAUAGAAACAAAGUCUUUGCGAGACUUUUUCACUCCUCUUCAAUAAGGGGAAAGAACAGAAAAAUAACGAGGGAAAUAAAAGGCCAAGAGUGUCUCUCUCUUUGUAAAAAACUUGAAAAUUGUAAAAAAGCUUUGUUUUUACAAGUAUGACGUUUUUACAAGAGUAAGAUGAGGGUAUUUACAAUUGUUUUAGGGGCCGUAGCUCAGCUGGGAGAGCACCUGCUUUG
rnacentral:misc_RNA from 1 species